rnacentral:rRNA from 1 species
UUGAUGUGUAGGAUAGGUGGGAGGCUUUGAAGUGUGGACGCCAGUCUGCAUGGAGCCGACCUUGAAAUACCACCCUUUAAUGUUUGAUGUUCUAACGUGGACCCGUAAUCCGGGUUGCGGACAGUGUCUGGUGGGUAGUUUGACUGGGGCGGUCUCCUCCUAAAGAGUAACGGAGGAGCACGAAGGUUGGCUAAUCCUGGUCGGACAUCAGGAGGUUAGUGCAAUGGCAUAAGCCAGCUUGACUGCGAGCGUGACGGCGCGAGCAGGUGCGAAAGCAGGUCAUAGUGAUCCGGUGGUUCUGAAUGGAAGGGCCAUCGCUCAACGGAUAAAAGGUACUCCGGGGAUAACAGGCUGAUACCGCCCAAGAGUUCAUAUCGACGGCGGUGUUUGGCACCUCGAUGUCGGCUCAUCACAUCCUGGGGCUGAAGUAGGUCCCAAGGGUAUGGCUGUUCGCCAUUUAAAGUGGUACGCGAGCUGGGUUUAGAACGUCGUGAGACAGUUCGGUCCCUAUCUGCCGUGGGCGCUGGAGAACUGAGGGGGGCUGCUCCUAGUACGAGAGGACCGGAGUGGACGCAUCACUGGUGUUCGGGUUGUCAUGCCAAUGGCACUGCCCGGUAGCUAAAUGCGGAAGAGAUAAGUGCUGAAAGCAUCUAAGCACGAAACUUGCCCCGAG